AUUGAACGCUGGCGGCAGGCCUAACACAUGCAAGUCGAGCGGAGCGGAGGACGGGUGAGUAAUGUCUGGGAAACUGCCUGAUGGAGGGGGACAACAUCUCGAAAGGGAUGCUAAUACCGCAUACUAAUAGAUGAGCAUAAGUCGGAUUAGCUAGUUGGUGGGGGAAAGGCCUACCAAGGCGACGAUCUGUAGCGGGUCUGAGAUGAUGAUCCGCCACACUGGGACUGAGACCCGGCCCAGACUCCUACGGGAGGCAGCGGUGGGGAAUAUUGGACAAUGGGGGGAAGCCUGAUCCAGCCAUGCCGCGUGUGUGAAGAAGGCCUUAUGGUUGUAAAGCACUUUAAGCGAGGAGGCGUUACUCGCAGAAUAAGCCCCGGCUAACUCUGUGCCAGCAGCCGCGGUAAUUC
rnacentral:rRNA from 1 species